rnacentral:rRNA from 1 species
ACAUACCUGAACGUUGCUUCGGCGGGACCGCCCCGGCGCCCUCUACCGGCCCGGAACCAGGCGCCCGCCGGAGGACCCAAACUCUUGCUUUAAUCAGUGGCAUUCUCUGAGUAAAACAAACAAAAAUAAAUCAAAACUUUCAACAACGGAUCUCUUGGCUCUGGCAUCGAUGAAGAACGCAGCGAAAUGCGAUAAGUAAUGUGAAUUGCAGAAUUCAGUGAAUCAUCGAAUCUUUGAACGCACAUUGCGCCCGCCAGUAUUCUGGCGGGCAUGCCUGUCCGAGCGUCAUUUCAACCCUCAAGCCCCCUAGGCUUGGUGUUGGGGACCGGCCCUGCGCCGCCCCCGAAAUGCAGUGGCGACCUCGCCGCAGCCUCCCCUGCGUAGUAGCACAACCUCGCACCGGAGCGCGGAGACGGUCACGCCGUAAAACGCCCAACUUUCUUAGAGUUGACCUCGGAUCAGGUAGGAAUACCCGC